rnacentral:rRNA from 1 species
CCUACGGGGGGCUGCAGUGGGGAAUAUUGCACAAUGGGCGAAAGCCUGAUGAAGCGACGCCGCGUGAGCGAAGAAGGCCUUCGGGUCGUAAAGCUCUGUCCUAUGGGAAGAAAGAUGACGGUACCAUAGGAGGAAGCCCAGGCUAACUACGUGCCAGGAGCCGCGGUAAUACGUAGGGGGCGAGCGUUGUCCGGAAUGACUGGGCGUAAGGGGUACGUAGGCGGCUAGAUUAGUUAGAUGUGAAAGGCAUGGGCUUAACCUGUGUAAGCAGUUGGAACUGACUGGGUGGAGUCGAGGAGAGGGAAGUGGGAUUCAGGGUGUGGCGGUGAAGUGCGGAGAUAUGGGGGGGAGUCUCAGUGGCGAAGGCGGCUUUCUGGACUUGGGCUGGCGCUGGGGUACGAAAGCGUGGGGAGCGAAGAGGAGUAGAUGCCCUGGUAGUC